GACGAACGCUGGCGGCGUGCUUAACACAUGCAAGUCGAACGGAAAGGCCCUGCUUUUGUGGGGUGCUCGAGUGGCGAACGGGUGAGUAACACGUGAGUAACCUGCCCUUGACUUUGGGAUAACUUCAGGAAACUGGGGCUAAUACCGGAUAGGAGCUCCUGCUGCAUGGUGGGGGUUGGAAAGUUUCGGCGGUUGGGGAUGGACUCGCGGCUUAUCAGCUUGUUGGUGGGGUAGUGGCUUACCAAGGCUUUGACGGGUAGCCGGCCUGAGAGGGUGACCGGGGACAUUGGGACUGAGAUACGGCCCAGACGCCUACGGGAGGCAGCAGUGGGGAAUAUUGCACAGUGGGCGGAAGCCUGAUGCAGCAACGCCGCGUGCGGGAUGACGGCCUUCGGGUUGUAAACCGCUUUCGCCUGUGACGAAGCGUGAGUGACGGUAAUGGGUAAAGAAGCACCGGCUAACUACGUG
rnacentral:rRNA from 1 species